AACUUUACACUGCGCGAAAGCGCGAUAAGGGGACCUCGAGUGCGUGCGCAAAGCGUACGCUUUUCAUGUGCCUAAAAAGCACGUGGAAUAAGGGCCGGGCAAGACCGGUGCCAGCCGCCGCGGUAACACCGGCGGCUCGAGUGGUGGCCGCUUCUAUUGGGCUUAAAGGGUCCGUAGCCGGGCCAGUUAGUCCUCUGGGAAAUCUUACGGCUUAACCGUAAGGCUGCCAAAGGAUACUACUGGCCUUGGGACCGGGAGAGGCAAGAGGUACCUCAGGGGUAGGAGUGAAAUCCUGUAAUCCUUGAGGGACCGCCAGUGGCGAAGGCGUCUUGCUAGAACGGGUCCGACGGUGAGGGACGAAAGCUAGGGGCACGAACCGGAUUAGAUACCCGGGUAGUCCUAGCCGUAAACGAUGCGAGCUAGGUGUCACGUGGAUUGCGAAUCCACGUGGUGCCGUAGGGAAACCGUGAAGCUCGCCGCCUGGGAAGUACGGCCGCAAGGCUGAAACUUAA
rnacentral:rRNA from 1 species